rnacentral:rRNA from 1 species
UACGAAGGGGGCUAGCGUUGCUCGGAAUUACUGGGCGUAAAGCGCGUGUAGGCGGCUAAGUAAGUCGGGCGUGAAAUCCCACGGCUCAACCGUGGAAGUGCAUUCGAAACUGCGAGGCUGGAGUCCUGGAGAGGAAAGUGGAAUACUCGGUGUAGAGGUGAAAUUCGUAGAUAUUCGCAAGAACACCAGUGGCGAAGGCGGCUCACUGGUCCGGUACUGACGCUGAGGUGCGAAAGCGUGGGGAGCAAACAGG